rnacentral:rRNA from 1 species
CGCGUAGACGGCUGUCUAAGUCUGGAGUGAAAGUCCUGCUUUCAAGGUGGGAAUUGCUUUGGAGACUGGAUGGCUUGAGUGCGGAAGAGGUAAGUGGAAUUCCCAGUGUAGCGGUGAAAUGCGUAGAGAUUGGGAGGAACACCAGUGGCGAAGGCGACUUACUGGGCCGUAACUGACGUUGAUGCGCGAAAGCGUGGGGAGCGAACAGGAUUAGAUACCCUGGUAGUCCACGCGGUAAACGAUGAGUGCUAGGUGUAGCGGGUAUCGACCCCUGCUGUGCCGGAGUUAACACAAUAAGCACUUCGCCUGGGGGAGUACGGCCGCAAGGUUGAA